AUCGUUAAUACCGCAUAACAUAAUUGAACCGCAUGAUUUGAUUAUCAAAGAUUUAUCGCUGAAAGAUGAGCUCGCGUCUGAUUAGCUAGUUGGUAAGGUAACGGCUUACCAAGGCGACGAUCAGUAGCCGGACUGAGAGGUUGACCGGCCACAUUGGGACUGAGACACGGCCCAGACUCCUACGGGAGGCAGCAGUGGGGAAUAUUGCACAAUGGAGGAAACUCUGAUGCAGCGAUGCCGCGUGAGGGAAGAAGGUUUUAGGAUUGUAAACCUCUGUCUUCAGGGACGAAAAAAGACGGUACCUGAGGAGGAAGCUCCGGCUAACUACGUGCCAGCAGCCGCGGUAAUACGUAGGGAGCGAGCGUUGUCCGGAAUUACUGGGUGUAAAGGGAGCGUAGGCGGGAUCGCAAGUCAGAUGUGAAAACUAUGGGCUUAACCCAUAAACUGCAUUUGAAACUGUGGUUCUUGAGUGAAGUAGAGGUAAGCGGAAUUCCUAGUGUAGCGGUGAAAUGCGUAGAUAUUAGGAGGAACAUCAGUGGCGAAGGCGGCUUACUGGGCUUUAACUGACGCUGAGGCUCGAAAGCGUGGGGAGCAAACAGGAUUAGAUACCCUGGUAGUCCACGCCGUAAACGAUGAUUACUAGGUGUGGGGGGACUGACCCCUUCCGUGCCGCAGCAAACGCAAUAAGUAAUCCACCUGGGGAGUACGACCGCAAGGUUGAAACUCAAAGGAAUUGACGGGGGCCCGCACAAGCAGUGGAGUAUGUGGAUUAAUUCGAAGCAACGCGAAGAACCUUACCAGGUCUUGACAUCGUAUGCAUAGCUCAGAGAUGAGUGAAAUCUCUUCGGAGACAUAUAGACAGGUGGUGCAUGGUUGUCGUCAGCUCGUGUCGUGAGAUGUUGGGUUAAGUCCCGCAACGAGCGCAACCCUUACUGUUAGUUGCUACGCAAGAGCACUCUAGCAGGACUGCCGUUGACAAAACGGAGGAAGGUGGGGAUGACGUCAAAUCAUCAUGCCCCUUAUGACCUGGGCCUCACACGUACUACAAUGGCUGUCAACAGAGGGAAGCAAAGCCGCGAGGUGGAGCAAACCCCUAAAAGCAGUCUUAGUUCGGAUUGUAGGCUGCAACCCGCCUACAUGAAGUCGGAAUUGCUAGUAAUCGCAGAUCAGCAUGCUGCGGUGAAUACGUUCCCGGGCCUUGUACACACCGCCCGUCACGCCAUGGGAGUCGGUAACACCCGAAGCCUGUAGUCUAACCGCAAGGAGGACGCAGUCGAAGGUGGGAUUGAUGACUGGGGUGAAGUCGUAACAAGGUAGCCGUAUCGGAAGGUGCGGCUG
rnacentral:rRNA from 1 species